AGCCUGCUGCCGCGGUCAGCGCCUGCUCCUGCUCCUCCGCUCCUCCUGCGCGGGGUGCUGAAACAGCCUGAGGAAGUAGAGCCGCCUCCGGGGAGCCCAACCAGCCGAACGCCGCCGGUGUCCGCAGCCUUGCGCGGCCACAGCAUGACCGCUCGCGGCCUGGCCCUUGGCCUCCUCCUGCUGCUACUGUGUCCAGCGCAGAUGUCCAUCCUGUUUUUAUAACCUACUGAACCUGUUUUGUGAGCUGACAUGUAGCCCUCGACAGAGUCAGUUUUUGAAUGUUACAGCUACUGAAGAUUAUGUUGAUCCUGUUACAAACCAGACGAAAACAAAUGUGAAAGAGUUACAGUACUACGUCGGACAGAGUUUUGCCAAUGCAAUGUACAAUGCCUGCCGGGACGUGGAGGCCCCCUCAAGUAAUGACAAGGCCCUGGGACUCCUUUGUGGGAAGGACGCUGAUGCCUGUAAUGCCACCAACUGGAUUGAAUACAUGUUCAAUAAGGACAAUGGACAGGCACCUUUUACCAUCACUCCCGUGUUUUCAGAUUUUCCUGUCCAUGGGAUGGAGCCCAUGAACAAUGCCACCAAAGGCUGUGACGAGUCUGUGGAUGAGGUUACAGCGCCGUGUAGCUGCCAAGACUGCUCUAUUGUCUGUGGCCCCAAGCCCCAGCCCCCACCUCCUCCUGCUCCCUGGACGAUCCUCGGCUUGGACGCCAUGUAUGUCAUCAUGUGGAUCACCUACAUGGUGUUUUUGCUUGUGUUUUUUGGAGCAUUUUUUGCAGUGUGGUGCUACAGAAAACGGUAUUUUGUCUCCGAGUACACUCCCAUCGAUAGCAAUAUAGCUUUUUCUGUCAAUGCAAGUGACAAAGGAGAGGCGUCCUGCUGUGACCCUGUCAGUGCAGCAUUUGAGGGCUGCUUGAGGCGGCUGUUCACACGCUGGGGGUCUUUCUGCGUCCGAAACCCUGGCUGUGUCAUUUUCUUCUCGCUGGUCUUCGUUACUGCGUGUUCGUCAGGCCUGGUGUUUGUCCGGGUUACAACCAAUCCAGUUGACCUCUGGUCAGCCCCCAGCAGCCAGGCUCGCCUGGAAAAAGAGUACUUUGACCAGCACUUUGGGCCUUUCUUCCGGACGGAGCAGCUCAUCAUCCGGGCCCCUCUCACUGACAAACACACUUACCAGCCGUACCCUUCGGGAGCCGAUGUACCCUUUGGACCUCCGCUUGACAUACAGAUACUGCACCAGGUUCUUGACUUACAAAUAGCCAUCGAAAACAUUACUGCCUCUUAUAACAAUGAGACUGUGACACUUCAAGACAUCUGCUUGGCCCCUCUUUCACCGUAUAACACGAACUGCACCAUUAUGAGUGUGUUAAAUUACUUCCAGAACAGCCAUUCCGUGCUGGACCACAAGAAAGGGGACGACUUCUUUGUGUAUGCUGAUUACCACACGCACUUUCUGUACUGCGUACGGGCUCCUGCCUCUCUGAAUGAUACAAGUUUGCUCCAUGACCCUUGUCUGGGUACGUUUGGUGGACCAGUGUUCCCGUGGCUUGUGUUGGGCGGCUAUGAUGAUCAAAACUACAACAACGCCACUGCCCUUGUGAUUACCUUCCCUGUCAAUAAUUACUAUAAUGAUACAGAGAAGCUCCAGAGGGCCCAGGCCUGGGAAAAAGAGUUUAUUAAUUUUGUGAAAAACUACAAGAAUCUCAAUCUGACCAUUUCCUUCACUGCUGAACGAAGUAUUGAAGAUGAACUAAAUCGUGAAAGUGACAGUGAUGUCUUCACUAUUGUAAUUAGCUAUGCCAUCAUGUUUCUGUAUAUUUCCCUAGCCUUGGGGCACAUCAAAAGCUGUCGCAGGCUUCUGGUGGAUUCGAAGGUCUCACUAGGCAUCGCGGGCAUCUUGAUCGUGCUGAGCUCGGUGGCUUGCUCCUUGGGUGUCUUCAGCUACAUUGGGUUGCCCUUGACCCUCAUUGUGAUUGAAGUCAUCCCAUUCCUGGUGCUGGCUGUUGGAGUGGACAACAUCUUCAUUCUGGUGCAGGCCUACCAGAGAGAUGAACGUCUUCAAGGGGAAACCCUGGAUCAGCAACUGGGCAGGGUCCUAGGAGAAGUGGCUCCCAGUAUGUUCCUGUCAUCCUUUUCUGAGACUGUAGCGUUUUUCUUAGGAGCAUUGUCCAUGAUGCCAGCCGUGCACACGUUCUCUCUCUUUGCGGGAUUGGCAGUCUUCAUUGACUUUCUUCUGCAGAUUACCUGUUUCGUGAGUCUCUUGGGGUUAGACAUUAAACGUCAAGAGAAAAAUCGGCUAGACAUCUUUUGCUGUGUCAGAGGUGCUGAAGAUGGAACAAGCGUCCAGGCCUCAGAGAGCUAUUUGUUUCGCUUCUUCAAAAACUCCUAUUCUCCACUUCUGCUAAAGGACUGGAUGAGACCAAUUGUGAUAGCAAUAUUUGUGGGUGUUCUGUCAUUCAGCAUCGCAGUCCUGAACAAAGUAGAUAUUGGAUUGGAUCAGUCUCUUUCGAUGCCAGAUGACUCCUACGUGGUGGAUUAUUUCAAAUCCAUCAGUCAGUACCUGCAUGCGGGUCCGCCUGUGUACUUUGUCCUGGAGGAAGGGCACGACUACACUUCUCCCAAGGGGCAGAACAUGGUGUGCGGCGGCAUGGGCUGCAACAACGAUUCCCUGGUGCAGCAGAUAUUUAACGCGGCGCAGAUGGACAACUAGUCAGUACUGCCUUGUCUUGUACUUCAGAAGCAGUGGAGGGGGCUCUCAGCCAGGCAGUCAGCUCAGGCCUGAAAUGUCUC
rnacentral:sRNA from 1 species